rnacentral:rRNA from 1 species
UACAGAGGUGGCAAGCGUUGUUCGGAAUUACUGGGCGUAAAGGGCGCGUAGGCGGCCUGUUAAGUCGAACGUGAAAUCCCCGGGCUCAACCCGGGAACUGCGUCCGAUACUGGCAGGCUUGAAUCCGGGAGAGGGAUGCGGAAUUCCAGGUGUAGCGGUGAAAUGCGUAGAUAUCUGGAGGAACACCGGUGGCGAAAGCGGCAUCCUGGACCGGCAUUGACGCUGAGGCGCGAAAGCCAGGGGAGCAAACGGG